GUGUUUCUCAAGCGAGGAUGUAAAGCAGACAGAAACAUCUGCUGAAGUUUCUUUUUUAUGAUUCCCUUUGAUUUUAAAAUGGUACACUUGUGCCAGAAGGAUCCCCUGCUACUAACCAGAAGUAUACAUGGGUUGGUCUGACUAAGGAAUGAAGAGAGCAUCUGUUCCCAAGGCAACACCUAUCUGUGGUCAGUGGCCAGCCACUCCCUGUCCCGGGAUGCAAC